rnacentral:rRNA from 1 species
AGUCUGGUGCCAGCAGCCGCGGUAAUUCCAGCUCCAGUAGUGUAUAUCAAUGUUGUUGCGGUUAAAACGCUCGUAGUUGGAUUACAAAAGCUCGAUGGGGCCGCAGCUCAAGUGGUUGCAGCGUCGUGGGGUUUUUUUAUCGCGAGAGCCGUGUGUGGGAUUAAUUUCUUGUAUGCGGUCACUUGCGGAGUGUGCCUUGAAUAAAGCACAGUGCUCAAAGCAGGCGUACGCUCGAAUGUUAUAGCAUGGAACGAAUAUUUUGACCAGGUCGAUUGUUGGUUGUUGACAGGGUCUCGAUUAAAAGGAACAUUUGAGGGCGUUGGUACUUGGUGGCGAGAGGUGAAAUUCUUAGACCCACCAAAGACUCACAAAUGCGAAAGCAUUCGCCAAGAGUGUUUUCAUUAAUCAAGAACGAAAGUCAGAGGUUCGAAGACGAUCAGAUACCGUCGUAGUUCUGACAGUAAACGAUGCCAACCUGGGGUUAGUUUGUUUCUAAAUAAGUUGGUCCCUCGGUGAAAACUAGUGUUUCGGUUCCGGGGAGAGUAUUCACGCAAGUGAAAAAUUUAAAGAAAUUGACGGAAUGGCACCACCAGGAGUGGAGCCUGCGGCUUAAUUUGACUCAACACGGGGAAACUCACCAGGUCCAGACAUUGACAGGAUUGACAGACUGAGAGAUCUUUCAUGAUACGAUGAUUGGUGGUGCAUGGCCGUUCUUAGUUGGUGGAGUGAUCUGUCAGGUUUAUUCCGGUAACGAACGAGACCACGAUCUCUAAUUGAAACGGUCAUUUUGUUUUGACCAAUCUUAGAGAGACAACCGGAUUCAAGCCGGGGGAAGCGUGGCAAUAACAGGUCUGUGAUGCCCUUCGAUGUUCUGGGCUGCACGCGCGCUACAAUGGCAGUGACAACGAGUGCCUGCUCUGAGAGGAGUGGGAAAUCUUGGAAAUCGCUGUCGUGAUUGGGAUUGAGCCUUGUAAUAAUUGCUCAUGAAAGAGGAAUUCCUCGUAAGCGCGAGUCAUCAGCUCGUG